GGCGAUCCAAAAUAUGAGGUUCCUUGUAGAUAGGAGUAGAGAUAGCAGCAAUUACAGUAGUUAUUUGCUGGGAAGAGGUUGAAUGUUGUUCCGUUGAUUCCAUUUGUUGAGAAAAGUUGUAUAUAGACUGUUGUUGAGAAUCCAUGUAGAAGAUGAAGACUGCUUGAAGAACACUUGAAGAAGCUUGAAGGUUGAGAGAUAUUAG
rnacentral:lncRNA from 1 species